UGGCCUAGUAGCAUAUCCCUUAUGAAGGUUUGGCCUAAAUGUAACUCUCCUAUAUGUAUAUGUCAUAUUUACAUUUUGUUUAGAAGCAUGUUCAUGAAAUGAAGUCUUUCUAGUUUCAUUUCCACUAGAUAUCUUUGGUUCUUGUCCUUUAGGAUUGAACACCUUUAGCCUAGGUACUUGGAGACUAGGCUCACUAGAAGUAGAUGCUUUAACAAAGAUGGUCUUGGAAUGAGGUGCUUGGGCAAAUUUACUAUAGCCAAGUCCAUACUUGAUGCUAGGAGACCUUUGAGUGUUCAAAAUUGCAUCAAGUUUGUCCUUUCCUUUAGCAAAUUUGGAAAGAGAAGUUUUUAGCUUAGCAAUUUCAUUUCUCAACUUCUCAUUUUCUAAUGAGAGUUCAUCUAAAGACUUUUGUAUAUUACUAUCUAAAGGUCUAUCAUCUUUAGAUAAGGUAUCAUUUUCCUUCCUUAAACUAGCAAGCUCACUUUAUUCUUCUUAUGACUUAAUUCUAGUUCAUCAUUCAUAACUUUAAGAGCACUCACUAGUUCAUUAUAAGAAAAUUCAACAGCAUCAUCAUUUAAAGUUACCUC
rnacentral:misc_RNA from 1 species